UACAGAGGUCUCAAGCGUUGUUCGGAUUCAUUGGGCGUAAAGGGUGCGUAGGCGGCGCGGUAAGUCGGGUGUGAAAUUUCGAGGCUUAACUUCGAAACUGCAUUCGAUACUGCCGUGCUAGAGGACUGGAGAGGAGACUGGAAUUUACGGUGUAGCGGUGAAAUGCGUAGAUAUCGAGAGGAACACCUGCGGCGAAGGCGGGUUGCUGGGCUGACACUGACGCUGAUGCGCGAAAGCCAGGGGAGCGAACGGG
rnacentral:rRNA from 1 species